rnacentral:lncRNA from 1 species
CAUUAAACAAAGUCCUGCACCCCCCUGUUUUUACACAAAUAUUUCAGAAUUUAGAGCUGUUUUCGGGUGUUUUUGAGCUAGAAAAUCUUUUCCUCGCACUUUACUUGUUUUACGAUGUGGAGGAAAAGUGCCGUUUUGUUCCGUUUGUUGAUGCAAGAAUUCACUAUCAAGAAAGAUUAACUAUUCUUUCAGGUAAGAUUCAUGAAACUAUUUUUACUUUGUAGAACCUUGCUAGAUAUAAAAUGACUCUCGAAAUGAGUCAAAUGACUAUAUUAGUACUAGAAGUUACUAUCGCAAGGAAAAUGCUGCCUCAACUCGCCUUCCAUCACACAAGCAAGUAAAGCACACCCCUAAAGCCGGUUUUCCACUUCAAACGUAUCGUACCGUAACAUUUUUUUGUGUCGAAAUCAUUAGUUCCACUCCUGCGGUCAGGAAACAAAGAAAUAUGCUACGUUUCACUACAAUACGGUUGAAGUGGAAAACCGACUUAAGGCACUUGUUCAAGAGGUAGGAAAAGUGCAAUUUGAACACGAAAACACCUUGCACAAAGUCAACGGUCAGCUAAAUAUUCUAAUCCUAUUGACUUCCACAAACUCCUUACUCUUCAAGAAAUUACUUCCUUGAAAAUUCCUUCAUUCUAAAAAAAGACUAAGGACUUUGUCAAAGUCUACAGGUCAUGCUAUGCAAGUUUUUAAUGAUUUGAAUUAUUGAAAUAGAUGCAGGUUUAUUAAUAUUAGCAUAGCAUGACCUGAUGACCAGUUGUCAUGGCUAGCUUGCCACUGGCACUGAAUACUGUAGUACUGUACAUUAUCAUGUAUAACAAACAAUAAUAAUACUUGAAUGAAUCAUUGGAUAUGUAGAGGUUAGCAAGAAAACUUUUCGACAAGUUUACAAGAAAGAUCUCGCCUGGUAUGAACAUAACAUGAAAAGUUACACUGCAUUCAUAUGAGACAACAAGUUUUCCCAUGUACUGAGAUCUCGCUUGUUGACAGGCAAUAUCUCUGCAGGCCUUUAGCCAAGGUCCUAAAAGAGGGCGUCCAAUUUUGGUACAACAAUACAUCUACAGUAAAGAGGUGGGGCAGGGGUCGAGAAAACGUUCUUCUGGAAAACCUUUGAAGUUUACGUUACUUCAUAUCAGUAUCUGUUCCAAGCCCAUUCGAAAUUUUCCACUUGGCUUUGUGAGUACUGAGUUUGUGCCGCCAUGCUUCUUUACUUAACUACCGUAAACUUCCGAAUAUAAGCCCCCCCCCCCCCUCCGAAUAUAAGCCCCCUAUGUAUAAGCCCACCACAUGUACUAACGCUCACCUCAUUCCAAAUAUAAGCGCCCUCACUGAAUAUAAGCCCCCUCCCCGAAUAUAAGCCCACCAGAAUAUAAGCCCACUUGUUUAUCACUAUUACCACUAUUAUACAUUACUAUGCUUAACACUUGUUUAUCAUUAUUACUAUACUUGUUUAUCACUAUUACACUAACACAAAAGAUUUUCCAUGUAUAUGCCCCCUCUGCCCCCAGUAUAUAAGCCCACCCUUGUAUAAGCCCAUCAAAAAUCGCUUACAAAAGAAUAUAAGCCCAUGGCUUAUAGUCUGAGGUUUACGGUACGACAUUUUCAUUCAGCCAGGUACACCAUCAAAUUGAUCAAAAUGUCAAAUGUAUAAUCAUAAUGAGAAUUGAAGCUAUUUCGUUUCGGAUAUAUUAAUAUACUUAAGGAAAUAAUUGAAAAUAAUUUCCCUUUUUCCCCAGAAUUUGGGCGUCCAAAGGCAUCCAUGUUUUGUUCUAGGGGCAUCCCAGGAUGCCUGGAUGCCUUUCUGGCUAAAAGCCUGGAUCUUGGUGACUGGGAUAAUGGUUUUCCCAUGAACACAACUUUCCCACUUAACAGGAUAACUUUUUGUCGUGUCAGCAACUAUUCAAUUCAUGUUCAGUGCUAUGUCACAACCAGCAACUUUAUCCGGUAAGUGGGAUAAAGUUUCUCCAUGUGAACAGAACAAAAGUAUUUGGCUAGUCGAAAACUUUUCUCGUUAACCGGGAUAAGUUUUUCCCUAUGAACAGGUUUCCCUAAGUCAGUUUUUGUCCCAGUUAUUGCUUCAAUGGCACCUUCAUGGCUACCCUUACGGCAGAACAACUUGAACAAUCUGCCGAUGGGAAGACAAAAUCUAUUUUGUUGACAUUUUUGUUUAAUACGUCAACUUUAGAUGACACCAUCCAUUUGUAAUGACCAAGACCGUACUCAGUCAGAACUGCAAAACUGUAUAAUAAGAAAGAAAUUGUGAGCAUUAUCGUAUACAAUUGUGUGUUCCAAUGCAGGCAUUAUACUGCUCAAUUGACCUUAUGCCUAAUGACAUCACAAGGUUUGAUGCCCACGAGGAAUGCUGGUCUACCGUCUUGUAGUCAUUGCCCAGGAAAAUAAAACAAUUCAAAAUGGCCACCAUUGAAAUUUUCCCAGGUGAUGACUACUAAGACCAGCAUUCCUCGCAAGCAUCACACCACAAAAUAAAUAAUAAGACCAGAAGUCUCACUCGAUGUCGGAAUCUUUGAUGUUGAUGUCCCCGCGCAUGUCGGCUCGCGCAUCUUGGCCGCGUCUCGUUUCCAGUGCCCUAAACAAGUGUAAUUUGACAAAUUUACAUGUAAACAUUAAGGAGUGAGGAAGUUAAAACGAUACCAAUCGAGUUUUAGAGCUUUGGAGACCAUUUUAAAAGAAUAUAUGAUAAAUUCAAAGGUAAGUCUAUCGUAUUGCAUUGUCUUAAAUGAAUUCUCAGCUAAAAUACGGCAAUAAAUGGAUCAUAAAUUUAGUUAAAUUCACUGUUGACAACGAGGUUGGACAGAUCCAAUGAUUUUUUUCCUUGAAUAGCUUUACCACAGUCAUUUUACCUUAAAAUGUAGAUACCGAGGAUAUCUCUAAGAGAUUUUACACAGAUUAUUUGCACAAUCUCACGAUUUAAUCAUGCUGAUAACAUGAAAAUCCUUGUGCCAUUGUAUACUUGGCAUAAUCUCCACAUCAAUAGUUCACCAGUUCAACACUUAUAAGUUAUAAAUUCAAUAUAUUUUUGAACCAGUCCAUAUAUUAUUAUACACAAUGUAGUAUAGUUAAUUUGACCAUUGAGAAGUAAGGGUGUAUUACAUUACACAGACACUGCUGAAUUUUAGGUUACAUACCAUUGGAUUGAUAUUUCUCAAAUUCAUUAAUAAUUCAUGAGUAAUUCAGCCAAUGAUAAUCACCUAUUUGAUCACAAGAUGCCAUUUGGAUAACCCGGUGAAACUUGAUGAAAGUCACUAGUGUUUUCAUCAAAUAUCUUAAUUACGCAUGCAAAAUUACUUGAAUAGAAUUCCUAAUUACGUUAUGCUUGGUUAAGAAUUCUAUUCAAAUCAGCAAACCAAAACAUUCUGUUACGUCUCGAUUCAUUUGAGAAGCCAUAUAAACAACUCGAGCUCGUGUCUCACCGGGAUAUCCAAACACUCGAAAACAAUGUAUGAAAACACUCGCGCUUCGCGCUCGUGUUCUCAUACAUUGUUUUCUCGUGUUUGGAUAUCCCGGUGAAACACUCACUGUCGUUGUUCAUAUAUUACAUAAAAACAUUUGUAAAAACACACAUUAUCUUGUUGAUAGAAUAGUUAUUUGCAGUAUACUAACUGUUGGCAUACUCUAUUUCAGGCCUAUCAAUUGUUUUUGUCACUGGCAAUCUUUGAAAUACAAUCUUGCUCUGUGACCUUUACUGACAAGUUGGCUUUUACUACAUAUGUGGCACUGACACCUCUUUAAUUAAUGCACCAGUCAAUGUAAACCCCCAACCGGGGAGGGGCAGGGAUUUUGACUUGGAGGGGUAGUAAAAGAGCAAAAUUGUCCCGCCCCCAGGGACAUCAAUGUCCCCUGCAUGUCUCUCAACCGCGGGAAAAUAGUUUUGUAUAAUCAUAGAUCAGCAAUAGAAAAUCAAAUUCAUUUAUGUUGUAUUUAAACUUUUCUUGUCAAGAAAACUAAAACAGCAACACAGGAUAUAUAUAUUAACCACCGUCCAAGUCUCCCAUCAUCGGGGCAAAUUUAUAAUCAAAACGGACCACUUUCCCUACUAAACCUCCCGCCCCUCCCCGGUUGGGGGCAGGGUUUACAUUGACUGGUGCAUAACUAGAUGAUUGCAUGAAAGUUGAUUUAGUAAUAUGUAUAAUUAGUUUAUGAAUAAACUCGCACUUUCAUUGUAGAGGUUAAGAUUUGAGUUCUACUAGCACUAUCUCUGACUGCCUUAGUAUGCAUCUGAUUGGUUAUAAUGGUUGAUCGAAUAUAUCAAAUGCAUUUGAUGGUCCCUGAAUGGUAAUGGUAGUCAAAUCUGAACCUCUAUAAUGUCAAUGAAGAAUGCAUACUGGAAAAGUAUCAAAUUAAAUUUUAAUUGUCAAUGUUGUGGAAAGUAAAUAAAUCAAACAAUUCUGUUUGUCUCAACUAACUAGUUCACUAUCACUUUGGUUUUCAAAUCAAAGAAUCUUUAGCCUGGUUGAGCUUUUGAAAAAGUAGC